rnacentral:rRNA from 1 species
CUGGUGCCAGCAGCCGCGGUAAUUCCAGCUCCAAUAGCGUAUAUUAAAGUUGUUGCAGUUAAAAGCUCGUAGUUGAAUUUCGGGGUUAGUAGGUUGGUCAUGCCUCUGGUAUGUACUGGUCUCACUGAUUCCUCCUUCCUGAUGAACCUUAAUGCCAUUAAUUUGGUGUUUUGGGGAAUUUGGACUGUUACUUUGAAAAAAUUAGAGUGUUUAAAGCAAGCUAACGCUUGAAUACAUUAGCAUGGAAUAAUGAAAUAGGACGUUCGAUCCUAUUUUGUUGGUUUCUAGGAUUGACGUAAUGAUUAAUAGGGAUAGUUGGGGGCAUUAGUAUUCAAUUGUCAGAGGUGAAAUUCUUGGAUUUAUUGAAGACUAACUACUGCGAAAGCAUUUGCCAAGGAUGUUUUCAUUAAUCAAGAACGAAAGUUAGGGGGAUCGAAGACGAUCAGAUACCGUCGUAGUCUUAACCAUAAACUAUGCCGACUAGGGAUCGGAUGAUGUUAAUUUUUUAAUGACUCAUUCGGCGCCUUACG